rnacentral:rRNA from 1 species
GAUUGAACGCUGGCGGCGUGCUUAACACAUGCAAGUCGAUCGGUAACAGGUGUAGCAAUACAUGCUGACGAGAGGCGGACGGGUGAGUAAUGCUUGGGAAUCUGCCUAUUAGUGGGGACAACCCGGGGAAACUCGGGCUAAUACCGCAUACGCUCUACGGAGGAAAGCCGGGGACCGCAAGGCCUGGCGCUAAUAGAUGAGCCCAAGUCGGAUUAGCUAGUUGGUAGGGUAACGGCCUACCAAGGCGACAAUCCGUAGCUGGUCUGAGAGGACGACCAGCCACACCGGAACUGAGACACGGUCCGGACUCCUACGGGAGGCAGCAGUGGGGAAUAUUGGACAAUGGGGGCGAACCCUGAUCCAGCGACGCCGCGUGGGUGAAGAAGGCCUGCGGGUUGUAAAGCCCUUUCGGUGGGGAAG